CAAUCGGCCCUUUUCGGGGCUAAUAAAUGUGCUCUAAAAAGUUAUUU
rfam:Aedes aegypti strain Liverpool supercont1.505 genomic scaffold, whole genome shotgun sequence.